rnacentral:misc_RNA from 1 species
AACGAAUUGCACCUGAGCAUUGUUCCUAAUGCUGUAGUCCUGAAGUUUAGCAGUAUCAUCUAGUAACUUCUCAUUGUGGAAUAGAAGGCAAAAAUUUGACCAGACAUGCCUCCAAGAGAUGUGCCGAUGGCCCAUCUUAGAUUGCUCGGUGUCAUCAAUCCUUUUCCGAACAGCUUGUUUCAAGUCUUUAACUGUUGCCGAAUUCAUCACUGUCACAUCAAAGGAGCUGCCAUCCAAUUUGAGGACAGAGAUACGCAUGGCACUCCCAAGUUCCAAGCUGAUAAGGGUGUCCACAUCCGUCAGAGUUGGGUUUUUUGGUAUAUCAGCAAGCACAGGAUCGUUGAGGAGAGCAACCAGUGUUGAAUGGAGUCUUGCCUUCUUCAUGUCACUACUAUAUUCCAGUGACACGUUGGUUUCCUCCUUUCUUCCCUCUGCUGUGAGUUGUUUAGGUUCUGUAGUAAGAUCUCCG